rnacentral:rRNA from 1 species
UUCAGCCCAACAAGUAUUGAAGGUGAUGCCUGCCCAGUGACUUUGUUCAACGGCCGCGGUAUCCUAACCGUGCAAAGGUAGCGCAAUCAAUUGUCCCAUAAAUCGAGACUUGUAUGAAUGGCUAAACGAGGUCUUAACUGUCUCUUACAGAUAAUCAGUGAAAUUGAUCUUCCCGUGCAAAAGCAGGAAUGUACACAUAAGACGAGAAGACCCUGUGGAACUUAAAAAUCAGCGGCCACCUCACAACAAAACCCAGCCCACCAGGCCCACCACCAACAAGAUGCUGGCUCGCAUUUUUCGGUUGGGGCGACCUUGGAGAAAAGCAAAUCCUCCAAAAACAAGACCACCUCCUCUUAACUAAGAGUAACCCCUCAACGUACUAACAGUAACCAGACCCAAUACAAUUGACCAAUGGACCAAGCUACCCCAGGGAUAACAGCGCAAUCUCCUCCAAGAGCCCAUAUCGACGAGGAGGUUUACGACCUCGAUGUUGGAUCAGGACAUCCUAAUGGUGCAGCCGCUAUUAAGGGUUCGUUUGUUCAACGAUUAAUAGUCCUAC